GGGGCUUGCAAAGAGAUCCGAGAUUGUUCUAGAGGUGGAGCAGCCUAUGGUAUAGGAUUAUUCUACUAUAUUACUUGGAUAGCAGUAGUCAAAUCUCUGACUUAUUGGAUCCAUAAGUUGAAUUGCUCUAUGUUGAUCACUACUCCCUACUGAGGAAGUGGAGGCAGAGCCUCUGAGGGCAGUGUCAGAGCCUAUUGAUUGGCAAGAUUCUCCACCGACUGGGAAUUGGUGGCAU
rnacentral:lncRNA from 1 species